CAGUAGCCACGGGAAUACGAAGGGUGCAAGCGUUAAUCGGAAUUACUGGGCGUAAAGCGUGCGUAGGCGGUUUGUUAAGUCUGCUGUGAAAUCCCCGGGCUCAACCUGGGAAUGGCAGUGGAUACUGGCAAGCUAGAGUGUGUCAGAGGAUGGUGGAAUUCCCGGUGUAGCGGUGAAAUGCGUAGAUAUCGGAAGGAACAUCUGUGGCGAAGGCGACUAUCUGGGCCAACACUGACACUGAGGCACGAAAGCGUGGGGAGCAAACAGGAUUAGAUACCCCUGUAGUCCCUGUCUCUUAUAC
rnacentral:rRNA from 1 species